rnacentral:tRNA from 1 species
CAAGGUAUAGCUUAAACACAAAGCAUCUAGCUUACACCUAGAAGAUAUCAUACAAAAUGAUUACCUUGA